UACGUAGGGUGCAAGCGUUAAUCGGAAUUACUGGGCGUAAAGCGUGCGCAGGCGGUGAUGUAAGACAGGUGUGAAAUCCCCGGGCUUAACCUGGGAACUGCAUUUGUGACUGCAUCGCUGGAGUGCGGCAGAGGGGGAUGGAAUUCCGCGUGUAGCAGUGAAAUGCGUAGAUAUUCGGAAGAACACCAGUGGCGAAGGCAGCACGUUGGCGCUCGAUUGACGCUCAGGCACGAAAGCAUGGGGAUCAAACAGG
rnacentral:rRNA from 1 species